ensembl:lncRNA
GUCCUCAUUUCAAAGGUGCUACUCAGACUACCUGCGGACUGUGGAAGGUAUCAUGGCACCUACUACUGUUUGUUUCCUAUUGUCAUCCUCUCUCUCUCUCUCUCUAUAAGAACAGUCACGCUGAGAAAUGGCUUCUUUGCUCUCUGAAGAAGGGUUCUGGCAACGAGAGGAUCUGAUCCCUUUUCCCCUUAGUUUACUCCAGAUUUUCGAUUUCACAUUGACUUAUUGGACUUAAAUUCUUAAAAUUACUGAGAUCUGGUCUUAAAAUGACUUAUGCUAUUGUUAUGGUUUGUUGACAUGAAAGUUUUUGUGGUUGCUACGGUUUUACACAAAGGUCAGGGUGAUCUCACAGCCGUCUCUUUUAAAGUGAUCAGCAAGACUUGAUCUCUACUGUGCAGUAUAUAGGAAAGAAGAAAGAGACCCAAAGAAUAUAUAUGCAGAACAAACUGAGGAUCUUCUACUGAAAAAGCAGUCCCAACAUGUUCUUCAGUGUAACUGAUUGUUCAAGCUGUUUCUGUUUUGUAUCUUGGAGAUGUACAUACUGGUUUUCCUUUUGGCAGGACUACACCAACCCACACAUCACAAUUCAGGCUAGAGGAAAGCAUGGAGUUGUGAUUCCUGUGUUUGUGCCUGACUACAGUAAUACAGCAGAAUACUGGGAGAGUAAAGGACUUUGCCAUGUUUUUGUGAUGUAAAUGAAGCGUUGAAAUUGACUGGUAUUGGCUGGUGUUUGCUGCUGUUUCUUUUUCCCUUCCUACCUGUCUGUUUUCAUGUGUCUUCCCUCUUGUCUGAAACUCAGGACUUAAUGUUUUGGGAGCAGGGAUUCUGUUAGACUUUAUGCAACCCUUAAUAGAGCGCUAUUAUUGGGAAUCCUAAAUCAAGCAGUAAAUAAAUGAAUCCCUCGAAAUCUUCACUUUCCUUUUUUCUCCUCUAAUCAUUAGCUAAAAGAUCUUGGCAUUUACAAGAAAGGGACAUCAUUUCUAGUGCAGGUUACUGAGUAGCAUUGUCUG